rnacentral:rRNA from 1 species
GUGGGGAAUCUUAGACAAUGGGGGAAACCCUGAUCUAGCCAUGCCGCGUGAUCGAUGAAGGCCUUAGGGUUGUAAAGAUCUUUCAGCUGGGAAGAUAAUGACGGUACCAGCAGAAGAAGCCCCGGCUAACUCCGUGCCAGCAGCCGCGGUAAUACGGAGGGGGCUAGCGUUGUUCGGAAUUACUGGGCGUAAAGCGCACGUAGGCGGAUUGGAAAGUUGGGGGUGAAAUCCCGGGGCUCAACCCCGGAACUGCCUUCAAAACUCCCAGUCUUGAGGUCGAGAGAGAUGAGUGGAAUUCCGAGUGUAGAGGUGAAAUUCGUAGAUAUUCGGAGGAACACCAGUGGCGAAGGCGGCUCACUGGCUCGAUACUGACGCUGAGGUGCGAAAGCGUGGGGAGCAAACAGGAUUAGAUACCCCUGUAGUCC